GCGGAGAUUCAGCGAUUUAAAGAAGGUGGAGAAAGACUCACACGCAGAGUGGGCAUGCAGAUUACAAAGGGCAGCACUCGGGUGGGUGCAAGCGAGCAAGGCACGGUCCAUGGAGGAUGUAAUCCAGAUGAUGCUGAUGGAGCAAUUCUAUGAGGGAGUAACCAGCGAUGUCCAGGAGUGGGUAAGGGACAGAAACCCUACAUUUCUCACCGAAGCUGCCAGGAAGGCAGAUGAGUACCUGGAUGCACGCAGGCAGCAAAAACCUGCAGCUCCAAAGGCCACUUUUAAAACCUUUGGGGGAACCACCUACACCCCAGCUCCACCGAGACAAUUACCACCACCACCACCACCUGCUGCCCAGCCACGUUUCCGCCAGCCCACGUCUGGCCCCUGUCAUCACUGCCAGAAAUGGGGACAUUAUAAAAGGGAAUGCCCACAGCUGCAGGACCGUUCCACCUGGAUCCGUCCAGGCCCGCCACCACCACCAAGAGCAGCCGCAACCCACCACUACCAGGAUAUAGUAGCCACACCAUAUGGUUCAGCAGUUCCCAUUACCACCAUGGAAUAGUGGGAAGUACUACAUGAGGCGGAUCCAGUCCAGGCCAAUGCUGAUAACCAACAGCAUCACAGACAGACUGUAUACCUGGAGGGUAAAGCGGUCCAAGGACUACGGGACUCAGGAGCUACAAUCACCCUGGUAAAGAGUCACCUGGUUCCGGAUCAGUCGAAAUUAAGUAAAACUGUGGCCGUCCGGGUAGCCGGGGGAGCAGUGUACCGGCUACCUACAGCAAGGGUACAUUUACAUUGGGGAGCGGGGUCACGGCAUGUGGAGGUGGGGUUGAUGCCGCAGUUACCGGCAGAGGUGUUAUUGGAGAACGAUCUGGGGAGGCUCACGUCUGCUUUUGAGCCCCAGACAACCACCACCAGAGAAGCUCACCCUGUGGUCACCCGACAACAGGCCUGCACCCAGGACUACAACACACUCCCGGAGGUUCAGGUAAGAGAUCCUUCCCCUUCCCUAGACUGUGUUCCCUGGGCCCCUCCUAACGAAUUUGCAGCUGAGGUAGUGACUGACCCCACCUUGCAGGUGUAUAGGGACAAGGUGACAGCAGACGCUCCUGGGGGAGAUGGCGAAAGGUUUAUCUGGGACAAACAGCUGUUAUACAGGGAGACGGAUAAGCAGGUAGCCGGGUCAGACCCGAUCGUGAUGAGACAGUUGGUGGUACCACAGCGGUACCGGGCAGAGC